ACGUAGGGUGCGAGCGUUAAUCGGAAUUACUGGGCGUAAAGUGUGCGCAGGCGGCUGAGCAAGUCGAGUGUGAAAGCCCCGAGCUUAACUUGGGAAUUGCGCUCGAAAUUACUUGGCUGGAGUGUGGCAGAGGGGGGUGGAAUUCCACGUGUAGCGGUGAAAUGCGUAGAGAUGUGGAGGAACACCAAUGGCGAAGGUAGCCCCCUGGGUCAAAACUGACGCUCAUGCACGAAAGCGUGGGGAGCAAACAGGA
rnacentral:rRNA from 1 species